rnacentral:rRNA from 1 species
GCGAGGUUUAGCAAAUCUCUUAAAGCCGUUCUCAGUUCGGAUUGUAGGCUGCAACUCGCCUACAUGAAGUCGGAAUCGCUAGUAAUCGCGGAUCAGCAUGUCGCGGUGAAUACGUUCCCGGGCCUUGUACACACCGCCCGUCACACCAUGAGAGUCGAUAACACCCGAAGCCUGUGAGCUAACCUUAGGGAGGCAGCAGUCGAAGGUGGGGUUGAUGAUUAGGGUGAAGUCGUAACAAGGUAAC